rnacentral:rRNA from 1 species
UACGGAGGGUGCAAGCGUUAUCCGGAUUCACUGGGUUUAAAGGGUGCGUAGGUGGGUCUGUAAGUCAGUGGUGAAAUCUCCAAGCUUAACUUGGAACUGCCGUUGAUACUAUAGACCUUGAAUGCUGUGGAGGUGAGCGGAAUAUGUCAUGUAGCGGUAGAAAUGCUUAGAUAUGACAUAGAACACCAAUUGCGAAGGCAGCUCACUACCCAGAUAUUGACACUGAGGCACGAAAGCGUGGGGAUCAAACAGG